rnacentral:rRNA from 1 species
AACGAACGCUGGCGGCAUGCCUAACACAUGCAAGUCGAACGAGACCUUCGGGUCUAGUGGCGCACGGGUGCGUAACGCGUGGGAACCUGCCCUUAGGUUCGGAAUAACUCCCCGAAAGGGGUGCUAAUACCGGAUAAUGUCUUCGGACCAAAGAUUUAUCGCCUUUGGAUGGGCCCGCGUUGGAUUAGCUAGUUGGUAGGGUAAAAGCCUACCAAGGCGACGAUCCAUAGCUGGUCUGAGAGGAUGAUCAGCCACACUGGGACUGAGACACGGCCCAGACCCCUACGGGAGGCAGGAGGGGGGAAAAUUGGACAAUGGGCGAAAGCCUGAUCCAGCAAUGCCGGGUGAGUGAUGAAGGCCUUAGGGUUGUAAAGCUCUUUUACCCGGGAUGAUAAUGACAGUACCGGGAAAAUAAGCCCCGGCUAACCCCGU